GGGGGAAUUUUCCGCAAUGGGCGAAAGCCUGACGGAGCAAUACCGCGUGCGGGAGGAAGCUUUUUGGAGUGUAAACCGCUUUUCUCGGGGAAGAUGAUGACGGUACCCGAGGAAUCAGCAUCGGCUAACUUCGUGCCAGCAGCCGCGGUAAUACGAGGGAUGCAAGCGUUAUCCGGAAUUAUUGGGCGUAAAGCGUUCGUAGGUGGUUUGGUAAGUCUGUCGUUAAAGCANGGAGCUUAACUCCAUAUGGGCGAUGGAAACUGCUGAACUUGAGGGUGGUAGGGGUAACAGGAAUUCCCAGUGUAGCGGUGAAAUGCGUAGAUAUUUGGAAGAACACCACCGGCGAAAGCGUGCUNCUGGGCCACAACUGACACUGAGGGACGCAAGANACGGGGGGGGAAGACGCUUAGAUACCCCCCUGU
rnacentral:rRNA from 1 species